rnacentral:rRNA from 1 species
AGGACGAACGCUGGCGGCGUGCUUAACACAUGCAAGUGGAGCGACGAACCGGGGCUUGCCCCGGGGCAGAGCCGCGAACGGGUGAGUAACACGUGGGUAACCCACCUCGAUGAUUGGGACAACCCGGGGAAACUCGGGCUAAUACCAAAUGUGCUCGUAGACCAUGAGGUCCAUGAGUAAAGAUAGCUUCGGCCUUCGCAUCGAGACCGGGCCCGCGGCCCAUUAGCUUUGUGGUGAGGUAACGGCUCACCAAGGCAACGAUGGGUAGCUGGUCUGGAGAGGACGAUCAGCCACACUGGGACUGAGACACGGCCAGACUCCGUACGGGAGGCAGCAGGUCGGGGAAUCGUUAGCGACAAAUGUACGGACGAAAGGCGUAGACGG